rnacentral:rRNA from 1 species
CACGUAGGCACCAAGCGUUGUCCGGAUUUAUUGGGCGUAAAGAGCUCGUAGGCGGUUCAGUAAGUCGGGUGUGAAAACUCUGGGCUCAACCCAGAGACGCCACCCGAUACUGCUGUGACUUGAGUACGGUAGGGAGCAGGGAAUUCCUGGUGUAGCGGUGAAAUGCGCAGAUAUCAGGAGGAACACCGGUGGCGAAGGCGAGUCUCUGGACAGCAACUGACGCUGAGGCACGAAGGCCAGGGGAGCAAACGGG